rnacentral:rRNA from 1 species
CCUACGGGAGGCAGCAGCAGGGAAUCUUGCACAAUGGGCGAAAGCCUGAUGCAGCAACGCCGCGUGUGGGAUGAAGGCCUUCGGGUUGUAAACCACUUUCAGGAGGGAAGAAGUUGACGGUACCUCCAAAAGAAGCACCGGCCAACUACGUGCCAGCAGCCGCGGUAAUACGUAGGGUGCAAGCGUUAUCCGGAAUCAUUGGGCGUAAAGAGCUCGUAGGCGGUUCAGCAAGUCGGCUGUGAAAGUUCAAGGCCCAACCUUGAAAAUGCAGUCGAUACUGCUGUGACUAGAGUCUGGUAGAGGAGAAUGGAAUUCCCGGUGUAGCGGUGGAAUGCGCAGAUAUCGGGAGGAACACCAGUAGCGAAGGCGGUUCUCUGGGCCUCGACUGACGCUGAGGAGCGAAAGCAUGGGUAGCAAACAGGAUUAGAUACCCUGGUAGUCCAUGCCGUAAACGUUGGAUACUAGGUGUGGCGUCCCGAUCAACGGAUGCCGUGCCGAAGCUAACGCAUUAAGUAUCCCGCCUGGGGAGUACGGCCGCAAGGCUAAAACUCAAAGGAAUUGACGGGUCCCCGCACAAGCGGCGGAGCAUGCGGCUUAAUUCGAUGCAACCCGAAGAACCUUACCUGGGUUUGACAUCAUGGGAAAAGCUGUAGAAAUACAGUGUCCGUAAGGGCCCAUGACAGGUGGUGCAUGGCUGUCGUCAGCUCGU